rnacentral:rRNA from 1 species
AACGAACGCUGGCGGCAUGCCUAACACAUGCAAGUCGAACGAGACCUUCGGGACUAGUGGCGCACGGGUGCGUAACGCGUGGGAACCUGCCCUUAGGCUCGGAAUAACUCUCCGAAAGGGGUGCUAAUACCGGAUAAUGUCUUCGGACCAAAGAUUUAUCGCCUUUGGAUGGGCCCGCGUUGGUUUAGCUAGUUGGUAGGGUAAAAGCCUACCAAGGCGACGAUCCAUAGCUGGUCUGAGAGGAUGAUCCGCGACACUGGGACUGAGACACGGCCCAGACUCCUACGGGAGGCAGGAGUGGGGAAUAUUGGACAACGGGGUGAAGGCUGAACCAGCAAGGCUGCGUGAGUGAUGAAGGCCUUAGGGUUGUAAAGCUCUUUUACCCGGGAUGAUAAUGACAGUACCGGGAGAAUAAGCUCCGGCUAACUCCGUG